AGUGAACGCUGGCGGUAGGCCUAACACAUGCAAGUCGAACGGCAGCACAGUAAGAGCUUGCUCUUACGGGUGGCGAGUGGCGGACGGGUGAGGAAUACAUCGGAAUCUACUUUUUCGUGGGGGAUAACGUAGGGAAACUUACGCUAAUACCGCAUACGACCUACGGGUGAAAGCAGGGGAUCUUCGGACCUUGCGCGAUUGAAUGGGCCGAUGUCGGAUUAGCUAGUUGGCGGGGUAAAGGCCCACCAAGGCGACGAUCCGUAGCUGGUCUGAGAGGAUGAUCGGCCACACUGGAACUGAGACACGGUCCAGACUCCUACGGGAGGCAGCAGUGGGGAAUAUUGGACAAUGGGCGCAAGCCUGAUCCAGCCAUACCGCGUGGGUGAAGAAGGCCUUCGGGUUGUAAAGCCCUUUUGUUGGGAAAGAAAAGCAGCAGGUUAAUACCCCGCUGUUCUGACGGUACCCAAAGAAUAAGCACCGGCUAACUUCGUG
rnacentral:rRNA from 1 species